UACAGAGGUCUCAAGCGUUGUUCGGAUUCAUUGGGCGUAAAGGGUGCGUAGGCGGCGCGGUAAGUCGGGUGUGAAAUCUCGGAGCUUAACUCCGAAACUGCAUUCGAUACUGCCGUGCUUGAGGACUGGAGAGGAGACUGGAAUUUACGGUGUAGCGGUGAAAUGCGUAGAUAUCGUAAGGAACACCUGCGGCGAAGGCGGGUUGCUGGGCCGACACUGACGCUGAGGCGCGAAAGCGUGGGGAGCAAACAGG
rnacentral:rRNA from 1 species